GACGAACGCUGGCGGCGUGCUUAACACAUGCAAGUCGAGCGGUAAGGCCCUUUCGGGGGUACACGAGCGGCGAACGGGUGAGUAACACGUGGGUGACCUGCCCUUAGCUCUGGGAUAAGCCUGGGAAACUGGGUCUAAUACCGGAUAUGACUCCAUGACGCAUGUUGUGGGGUGGAAAGCCUUGUGCGGCUAGGGAUGGGCCCGCGGCCUAUCAGCUUGUUGGUGGGGUGAUGGCCUACCAAGGCAACGACGGGUAGCCGGCCUGAGAGGGCGACCGGCCACACUGGGACUGAGACACGGCCCAGACUCCUACGGGAGGCAGCAGUGGGGAAUCUUGCGCAAUGGGCGAAAGCCUGACGCAGCGACGCCGCGUGGGGAUGAC
rnacentral:rRNA from 1 species